rnacentral:rRNA from 1 species
AAAUGAAUUGACGGGGGCCCGCACAAGCGGAGGAACAUGUGGUUUAAUUCGAUGAUACGCGAGGAACCUUACCCGGGUUUGAACGCAGUGGGAAUGGCCCUGAAAGGGGUCAGCUAGCAAUAGUCCGCUGCGAGGUGCUGCAUGGUUGUCGUCAGCUCGUGCCGUGAGGUGUCGGCUUAAGUGCCAUAACGAGCGCAACCCUUAUCGUCAGUUACUAACAGGCAAAGCUGAGGACUCCGGCGAGACUGCCAGCGUAAGCUGUGAGGAAGGUGGGGAUGACGUCAAAUCAGCACGGCCCUUACAUCCGGGGCGACACACGUGUUACAAUGGUGGGGACAGAGGGAAGCCACUCGGCGACGAGGCGCGGAUCCCAAAACCCCAUCUCAGUUCGGAUCGGAGUCUGCAACUCGACUCCGUGAAGCUGGAUUCGCUAGUAAUCGCGCAUCAGCCAUGGCGCGGUGAAUACGUUCCCGGGCCUUGUACACACCGCCCGU